AUUGAACGCUGGCGGCAGGCCUAACACAUGCAAGUCGAACGGUAACAGGAAGAAUCUUUCUUCUUUGCUGACGGGUGGCGGACGGGUGAGUCAUGUCUGGGAAACUGUCUGAUGGAGGGGGAUAACUACUGGAAACGGUUGCUAAUACCGCAUAACGUCGCAAGGCCAAAGAGGGGGACCGUCGGGCCUCUUGCCAUCGGAUGUGCCCAGAUGGGAUUAGCUAGUAGGUGGGGUAACGGCCCACCUAGGCGACGAUCCCUAGCUGGUCUGAGAGGAUGACCAGCCACACGAGAACUGAGACACGGUCCAGACUCCUAAGGGAGGCAGCAGUGGGGAAUAUUGCACAAUGGGCGCAAGCCUGAUGCAGCCAGGCCGCGUGUAUGAAGGAGGCCUUCGGGGUGUAAAGUACUUUCAGGGGGGAGGAAGGGAGUACAGUUAAUACCUUGGCUCAGUGACGUUACCCGCAGAAGAAGCACCGGCUAACUCCGUG
rnacentral:rRNA from 1 species